UACAGAGGGGGCAAGCGUUGUUCGGAAUUACUGGGCGUAAGGGCGCGUAGGCGGCCUUCUAAGUCGAACGUGAAAUCCCUGGGCUCAACCCAGGAACUGCGUCCGAUACUGAAAGGCUUGAAUCCGGGAGAGGGAUGCGGAAUUCCAGGUGUAGCGGUGAAAAUGCGUAGAUAUCUGGAGGAACACCGGUGGCGAAGGCGGAUCCUGGACCGGUAUUGACGCUGAGGCGCGAAAGCCAGGGGAGCAAAGCGGG
rnacentral:rRNA from 1 species